GGAAAGUCGCACGGUACAGGGUGAUAGUCCCGUACACAAAAAUGCAUAUGUUGUGAGUUCGAUGAGUAGGGCGGGACACGUGACAUCCUGUCUGAAUAUGGGGGGACCAUCCUCCAAGGCUAAAUACUCCUGACUGACCGAUAGUGAACCAGUACCGUGAGGGAAAGGCGAAAAGAACCCCGGCGAGGGGAGUGAAAUAGAACCUGAAACCGUGUACGUACAAGCAGUGGGAGCACCUUCGUGGUGUGACUGCGUACCUUUUGUAUAAUGGGUCAGCGACUUAUAUUUUGUAGCAAGGUUAACCGAAUAGGGGAGCCGUAGGGAAACCGAGUCUUAACUGGGCGAAUAGUUGCAAGGUAUAGACCCGAAACCCGGUGAUCUAGCCAUGGGCAGGUUGAAGGUUGGGUAACACUAACUGGAGGACCGAACCGACUAAUGUUGAAAAAUUAGCGGAUGACUUGUGGCUGGGGGUGAAAGGCCAAUCAAACCGGGAGAUAGCUGGUUCUCCCCGAAAGCUAUUUAGGUAGCGCCUCGUGAACUCAUCUUCGGGGGUAGAGCACUGUUUCGGCUAGGGGGUCAUCCCGACUUACCAAACCGAUGCAAACUCCGAAUACCGAAGAAUGUUAUCACGGGAGACACACGGCGGGUGCUAACGUCCGUCGUGAAGAGGGAAACAACCCAGACCGCCAGCUAAGGUCCCAAAGUCAUGGUUAAGUGGGAAACGAUGUGGGAAGGCAUAGACAGCCAGGAUGUUGGCUUAGAAGCAGCCAUCAUUUAAAGAAAGCGUAAUAGCUCACUGGUCGAGUCGGCCUGCGCGGAAGAUGUAACGGGGCUAAACCAUGCACCGAAGCUGCGGCAGCGACACUUAGGUGUUGUUGGGUAGGGGAGCGUUCUGUAAGCCGUUGAAGGUGACCUGUGAGGGUUGCUGGAGGUAUCAGAAGUGCGAAUGCUGACAUAAGUAACGAUAAUGCGGGUGAAAAACCCGCACGCCGGAAGACCAAGGGUUCCUGUCCAACGUUAAUCGGGGCAGGGUGAGUCGACCCCUAAGGCGAGGCUGAAAAGCGUAGUCGAUGGGAAACAGGUUAAUAUUCCUGUACUUGGUGUUACUGCGAAGGGGGGACGGAGAAGGCUAGGCUAGCCGGGCGACGGUUGUCCCGGUUUAAGCAUGUAGGCGGAGUGACUUGGUAAAUCCGGUUGCUUAUCAACGCUGAGGUGUGAUGACGAGCCACUACGGUGGUGAAGUAGUUGAUGCCAAGCUUCCAGGAAAAGCCUCUAAGCAUCAGGUAACAUUAAAUCGUACCCCAAACCGACACAGGUGGUCAGGUAGAGAAUACUCAGGCGCUUGAGAGAACUCGGGUGAAGGAACUAGGCAAAAUGGUGCCGUAACUUCGGGAGAAGGCACGCUGGCAUUAGGUAAAGAGACUUGCUCUCGGCGCCGAAGCCAGUCGCAGAUACCAGCUGGCUGCAACUGUUUAAUAAAAACACAGCACUGUGCAAACACGAAAGUGGACGUAUACGGUGUGACGCCUGCCCGGUGCUGGAAGGUUAAUUGAUGGGGUCAGCCGCAAGGCGAAGCUCUUGAUCGAAGCCCCAGUAAACGGCGGCCGUAACUAUAACGGUCCUAAGGUAGCGAAAUUCCUUGUCGGGUAAGUUCCGACCUGCACGAAUGGCGUAAUGAUGGCCAGGCUGUCUCCACCCGAGACUCAGUGAAAUUGAACUCGCUGUGAAGAUGCAGUGUACCCGCGGCAAGACGGAAAGACCCCGUGAACCUUUACUAUAGCUUGACACUGAACAUUGAGCCUUGAUGUGUAGGAUAGGUGGGAGGCAUUGAAGUGUGGACGCCAGUCUGCAUGGAGCCAACCUUGAAAUACCACCCUUUAAUGUUUGAUGUUCUAACUCGGCCCCAUAAUCUGGGGUGAGGACAGUGUCUGGUGGGUAGUUUGACUGGGGCGGUCUCCUCCCAAAGAGUAACGGAGGAGCACGAAGGUUAGCUAAUCACGGUCGGACAUCGUGAGGUUAGUGCAAAGGCAUAAGCUAGCUUGACUGCGAGAGUGACGGCUCGAGCAGGUACGAAAGUAGGUCUUAGUGAUCCGGUGGUUCUGAAUGGAAGGGCCAUCGCUCAACGGAUAAAAGGUACUCCGGGGAUAACAGGCUGAUACCGCCCAAGAGUUCAUAUCGACGGCGGUGUUUGGCACCUCGAUGUCGGCUCAUCACAUCCUGGGGCUGAAGUAGGUCCCAAGGGUAUGGCUGUUCGCCAUUUAAAGUGGUACGCGAGCUGGGUUUAGAACGUCGUGAGACAGUUCGGUCCCUAUCUGCCGUGGGCGUUGGAAGAUUGAGAGGGGCUGCUCCUAGUACGAGAGGACCGGAGUGGACGAAUCACUGGUGUUCGGGUUGUCAUGCCAAUGGCAUUGCCCGGUAGCUAAAUUCGGAAGAGAUAACCGCUGAAAGCAUCUAAGCGGGAAACUUGCCUCGAGAUG
rnacentral:rRNA from 1 species